AAUGAACGUUGGCGGCGUGGAUUAGGGAUGCAAGUCGAGCGAGAAGUCUCCCUUCGGGGAGGCGGACAGCGGCAAACGGGGUAGUAAUGCGUAGGUAACGUACCCUAAGGUCUGGGAUAGCCGCGGGAAACUGCGAUUAAUACCGGAUGACCUCUCUAUUCAUAAUCGUAUGGAGAGCAAAGGUGUGAUUCCGCCAUAGGAGCGGCCUGCGUGGUAUUAGGUAGUUGGUGAGGUAACGGCUCACCAAGCCUGAGAUGCCUAGGGGGUGUGACAGCACGACCCCCACCACUGGGACUGAGACACUGCCCAGACACCUACGGGUGGCUGCAGUCGAGAAUCUGCGGCAAUGGGCGAAAGCCUGACCGAGCGACGCCGCGUGCGGGAUGAAGGCCUUUGGGUUGUAAACCGCUGUCAGAGGGGAUGAAAUGCGGGGGGGUUCUCCCCCUCGUUUGACAGAGCCUCAGAGGAAGCACGGGCUAAGUACGUGCCAGCCGCCGCGGUAACAC
rnacentral:rRNA from 1 species